GACGAACGCUGGCGGCGUGCCUAACACAUGCAAGUGGAGCGACGAACCAGGCUUCGGCCUGGGGCAAAGCCGCGAACGGGUGAGUAACACGUGGGUAACCUGCCCUGAUGAUUGGGACAACCCGAGGAAACUCGGGCUAAUACCAAAUGUGCCCUUCGGCCAUAAGGCCGCCGGGAAGGAAGCUUCGGCCUCCGCAUCUGGAUGGGCCCGCGGCCCAUUAGCUUGUUGGUGAGGUAACGGCUCACCAAGGCGACGAUGGGUAGCUGGUCUGAGAGGACGAUCAGCCACACUGGGACUGAGACACGGGCCCAGACUCCUACGGGAGGCAGCAGUGGGGAAUCUUGCGCAAUGCGCGAAAGCGUGACGCAGCAACGCCGCGUGAAGGAUGAAGUAUUUCGGUA
rnacentral:rRNA from 1 species